rnacentral:snRNA from 1 species
AUGCUUGCUUUGGCAGCAUAUACACUAAAAUUGGAAAGACACAGAGAAGAUUAGCACGGCCCCGGUACAAGGAUAACACACAAACUUGGAAAGUGUUACAUAUUUUU